rnacentral:rRNA from 1 species
AUUGAACGCUGGCGGCAUGCCUUACACAUGCAAGUCGAACGGCAGCGGACCUUCGGGUGCCGGCGAGUGGCGAACGGGUGAGUAAUAUAUCGGAACGUACCUUUCAGUGGGGGAUAACGUAGCGAAAGUUACGCUAAUACCGCAUAUUCUGUGAGCAGGAAAGCAGGGGAUCGCAAGACCUUGCGCUGAUUGAGCGGCCGAUAUCAGAUUAGCUAGUUGGUGAGGUAAAGGCUCACCAAGGCGACGAUCAGUAGCGGGUCUGAGAGGAUGAUCCGCCACACUGGAACUGAGACACGGUCCAGACUCCUACGGAGGCAGCAGUGGGGAAUUUUGGACAAUGGGCGCAAGCCUGAUCCAGCCAUGCCGCGUGAGUGAAGAA